CCGUACAGGUGCGUGCACGUUGUCUGACAUCAGAAGCUUCUUUUCCUCGAAAGGCAGAUCAAAAAAGUCCAUUGCAGCGUCCAGAGCAUCUUUCAUCACAGGAAGAGGGAUUCCAUGAUUUAUCACCUGAAAACAUUUCGUAUCUCAUUUAUAACAUGAGACCUGAGAGAAGGAUGGUGUAACAAGGAUAGGUCAACAAUGGGAAGGGUCAUUGAUGGGCUCAGACCAGGGUUUGGCCUAUCCCACGGGGGAAGAAUGUAAUAUUCAGGCACAUUAGCUGCACCUGACUUGAUAAAUGAAGCUUAUUGCAGGAUGAGCUCAGGGCGAUUAGCUGGAAGUGAAACCAUAUCAACAUGCAAUGGGUUUCCAAGUCAAGACUCAAAACCAGCAUAUGGUUUUCUUGGAUGACAUCACCACCUCCACAGAAGUUCGUGCUUUAAAGGUUUUGUCAUCUUGCGAGAAACUCCGGUGAUGGAAAAUGGAUGAUCUCCUUUUUCCUUCACACACCAUUGCUCUGCUCUUUCCUUGUUAACCGCCAUGCCAAGGAUCCUGACAUCUGUUAUUAAACUUUGGUGCCUAUACCAACCGACGCAAUUUUUUUGGAUGAUUGGCAACCGAAGAUUCAUCUCCAGUGUUUUCUAAUAUCCACUUGCCCAAUAGAGUCGUUCAGUAAAGGAAAAUAAUUAUUGGGCAUAAAAAUUGGUUAAGAAAAUUUCUGCGCUUUAUAAGAAACUAAAAAUUGCAUGAUAAUGAUGAUGAUAAAUGGAAAAAUAUCAAGAGGUUGUCAAUAAAUGAUGAGGUGUAUCCCUUUAAAAAAAUAAUAAUAAUUUAUUGUAGGCUGUUAUACUUAUAUGGAUCAGAUAGGAUUUGAGAACAUUGAACCUAGGUCUAAGUGCUUGAAGCAUUACUAUACUUGUUCAGUUUGCUGCGAUUUUCUGUGCACUGGGAUUGGCUAGAAUAGCUUCAUUCCAGAUUCAGAAUGUAAAGGUAAAGUCACCUUAAUACCAGACAGGGCAACAAGAAAAAAAGUUCAUCGCACUGGUGUCAAAAUUUUUUCUGCGUAACUAUUCUACCGUUGACUAUGAAAACAAACCCGUUCAAGUUCAAUGUUUAUUUAGCCAUGAUAGCUACCAGCCUGGCCCCGCGAUUGUGAUAACGGUAGUAAUAUAUGUAGUUUGGCCAUGAUUCUUUACACACACAGGACAACAGAAGGAGAUUAAUUUUACGUUUUCAAAAGCUAGCUAGAACUAGGUGUUGAUUGAUAGGCUUGAUACAUGAAUCUUACCUCGAAUCUUUUUGGUUUUCUGAACUUAGGUCUAAUCGUUAGCAUGCACGUUUAUAUUUCAUUAGCGAUGUACAUAGUU